rnacentral:rRNA from 1 species
UACGGAAGGCAGCAGUGGGGAAUAUUGCACAAUGGGCGAAAGCCUGAUGCAGCUAUGCCGCGUGUAUGAAGAAGGCCUUAGGGUUGUAAAGUACUUUCAUCGGGGAGGAAAAACAAAACUAAUAAUUUUAUUUCUUGACGUUACCCGAAAAAGAAGCACCGGCUAACUCCGUGCCAGCAGCCGCGGUAAUACGGAGGGUGCUAGCGUUAAUCAGAAUUACUGGGCGUAAAGAGCACGUAGGUGGUUUUUUUAAGUCAGAUGUGAAAUCCCUGGGCUUAACCUGGAACUGCAUUUUGAAACUGAAAUACUAGAGUAUCGUAGAGGGAGGUAGAAUUCUAGGUGUAGCGGUGAAAUGCGUAGAUAUCUGGAGGAAUACCUGUGGCGAAAGCGGCCUCCUAAACGAAUACUGACACUGAGGUGCGAAAGCGUGGGGAGCGAAACAGGGAUUAGGAU